GAUGAACGCUGGCGGCGUGCCUAACACAUGCAAGUCGAACGGAAAGACAGUGAGCUUUUGCUCUUACCGGUGGCGGCUGGCGGGCGGGUGACGAGUGGAUCGGCAACUAAUAUUUCGGGGAGGAUAACGUAAAGACGGAUCCAAUACUAGAGCAUAUGUUGAACCGCAGGGUGCAGUAGAGCAUCACAGCUUGGGUGUCUGUAUGAGACGGUGCCGCACUAGCUAGUUGGGUGGGUAAGGGCCUACCAAGGCGACGAUACGUAGCUGAUCUGAGAGGAUGAUCGGCCACACUGGAACUGAGACACGGUCCAGACUCCUACGGGAGGCAGCAGUAGGGAAUAUUGGGCAAUGGGCGAAAGCCUGACCCAGCCACGCCGCGUGAGUGAAGAAGGCCUUCGGAUCGUAAAGCCCUGUUGUUGGGAAAGAAAAGCAGUGUGUGAAUACACCGCCGUUCUGACGGUACCUAAUGAAAAAGCACCGGCUAACUACGUG
rnacentral:rRNA from 1 species